rnacentral:tRNA from 1 species
GGGUCCUUAGCUCAGUUGGUUAGAGCCCUCCGCUCAUAACGGAGUGGUCGUGUGUUCGAGUCACACAGGACCCA